CCUUAAAGAACCUGCCUUUGUAGUGCUCACACAGAUUGUCUGAUGAAAGUAUAGAAGCAAGGCGUCUUGCGAUUGAGACUUCAGUGUCCCCUUCGUCUAGAGGCCCAGGACACCGCCCUUUCACGGCGGUAACAGGGGCUCGAAUCCCCUAGGGGACGCCACUUGCUGGUUCGUGAGUGAAAGACGCGUGCCGAUAUAUCUCAAAACUCAUCUUCGGGUGAUGUUUGAGAUAUUUGCUCUUUAAAAAUCUGGAUCAAGCUGAAAAUUGAAACGACACAUCUUUAAUGGUGUGUUCGAGUCUCUCAAAUUUUCGCGACACGAUGGUGUUUUACGAAACAUCUUCGGGUUGUGA
rnacentral:misc_RNA from 1 species